UACGUAGGGGGCGAGCGUUGUCCGGAUUCAUUGGGCGUAAAGCGCGUGCAGGCGGCCUGGUAAGUCGGCCGUGAAAGCGCCAGGCUUAACCUGGCGAGGUCGGGCGAGACUGCUAGGCUGGAGGCCGGUAGAGGGCGGUGGAAUUCCGGGUGUAGUGGUGGAAUGCGUAGAGAUCCGGAGGAACACCAGUGGCGAAGGCGGCCGCCUGGGCCGGUCCUGACGCUGAGACGCGAAAGCGUGGGGAGCAAUCCGG
rnacentral:rRNA from 1 species